rnacentral:rRNA from 1 species
AUUGAACGCUGGCGGAAUGCUUUACACAUGCAAGUCGAACGGUAGAGGGGGCAACCCCUUGAGAGUGGCGAACGGGUGAGUAAUAUAUCGGAACGUGCCCGGUCGUGGGGGAUAACGUAGCGAAAGCUACGCUAAUACCGCAUACGAUCUAUGGAUGAAAGCGGGGGAUCGCAAGACCUCGCGCGAUUGGAGCGGCCGAUAUCAGAUUAGGUAGUUGGUGAGGUAAAGGCUCACCAAGCCGACGAUCUGUAGCUGGUCUGAGAGGACGACCAGCCACACUGGGACUGAGACACGGCCCAGACUCCUACGGGAGGCAGCAGUGGGGAAUUUUAGACAAUGGGCGCAAGCCUGAUCCAGCAAUGCCGCGUGCAGGAUGAAGG